rnacentral:rRNA from 1 species
UGCGCAGGCGGGGACGUAAGUCAGUGGUGAAAAGCUGCCGCUUAACGGUAGUCUUGCCAAUGAUACUGCGUUUCUUGAGUAUGGUUAAGGUAGGCGGAAUGUGCAGUGUAGCGGUGAAAUGCAUAGAUAUUGCACAGAAGGCCGAUUGCGGAGGCAGCUUACUGAGCCAUAACUGACGCUGAGGCACGAAAGCGUGGGGAUCAAACAGGAUUAGAUACCCUGGUAGUCC